UGACUGCGUACCUUUUGUAUAAUGGGUCAGCGACUUAUAUUCUGUAGCAAGGUUAACCGAAUAGGGGAGCCGCAGGGAAACCGAGUCUUAAUUGGGCGUUAAGUUGCAGGGUAUAGACCCGAAACCCGGUGAUCUAGCCAUGGGCAGGUUGAAGGUUGGGUAACACUAACUGGAGGACCGAACCGACUAAUGUUGAAAAAUUAGCGGAUGACCUGUGGCUGGGGGUGAAAGGCCAAUCAAACCGGGAGAUAGCUGGUUCUCCCCGAAAGCUAUUUAGGUAGCGCCUCGUGAAUUCAUCUCCGGGGGUAGAGCACUGUUUCGGCUAGGGGGCCAUCCCGGCUUACCAACCCGAUGCAAACUGCGAAUACCGGAGAAUGUUAUCACGGGAGACACACGGCGGGUGCUAACGUCCGUCGUGAAGAGGGAAACAACCCAGACCGCCAGCUAAGGUCCCAAAGUCAUGGUUAAGUGGGAAACGAUGUGGGAAGGCCCAGACAGCCAGGAUGUUGGCUUAGAAGCAGCCAUCAUUUAAAGAAAGCGUAAUAGCUCACUGGUCGAGUCGGCCUGCGCGGAAGAUGUAACGGGGCUAAACCAUGCACCGAAGCUGCGGCAGCGACGCUGAUGCGUUGUUGGGUAGGGGAGCGUUCUGUAAGCCUGUGAAGGUGUGUCGUGAGGCAUGCUGGAGGUAUCAGAAGUGCGAAUGCUGACAUAAGUAACGAUAAAGCGGGUGAAAAGCCCGCUCGCCGGAAGACCAAGGGUUCCUGUCCAACGUUAAUCGGGGCAGGGUGAGUCGACCCCUAAGGCGAGGCCGAAAGGCGUAGUCGAUGGGAAACGGGUUAAUAUUCCCGUACUUGGUGUUACUGCGAAGGGGGGACGGAGAAGGCUAUGUUGGCCGGGCGACGGUUGUCCCGGUUUAAGCGUGUAGGUGUGUGUUCCAGGUAAAUCCGGUUCACUUUAACACUGAGGCGUGAUGACGAGGCACUACGGUGCUGAAGCAACAAAUGCCCUGCUUCCAGGAAAAGCCUCUAAGCAUCAGGUAACAUCAAAUCGUACCCCAAACCGACACAGGUGGUCAGGUAGAGAAUACCAAGGCGCUUGAGAGAACUCGGGUGAAGGAACUAGGCAAAAUGGUGCCGUAACUUCGGGAGAAGGCACGCUGACACGUAGGUGAAGUGAUUUACUCACGGAGCUGAAGUCAGUCGAAGAUACCAGCUGGCUGCAACUGUUUAUUAAAAACACAGCACUGUGCAAACACGAAAGUGGACGUAUACGGUGUGACGCCUGCCCGGUGCCGGAAGGUUAAUUGAUGGGGUCAGCGCAAGCGAAGCUCCUGAUCGAAGCCCCGGUAAACGGCGGCCGUAACUAUAACGGUCCUAAGGUAGCGAAAUUCCUUGUCGGGUAAGUUCCGACCUGCACGAAUGGCGUAAUGAUGGCCAGGCUGUCUCCACCCGAGACUCAGUGAAAUUGAACUCGCUGUGAAGAUGCAGUGUACCCGCGGCAAGACGGAAAGACCCCGUGAACCUUUACUAUAGCUUGACACUGAACAUUGAGCCUUGAUGUGUAGGAUAGGUGGGAGGCUUUGAAGUGUGGACGCCAGUCUGCAUGGAGCCGACCUUGAAAUACCACCCUUUAAUGUUUGAUGUUCUAACGUGGACCCGUAAUCCGGGUUGCGGACAGUGUCUGGUGGGUAGUUUGACUGGGGCGGUCUCCUCCUAAAGAGUAACGGAGGAGCACGAAGGUUGGCUAAUCCUGGUCGGACAUCAGGAGGUUAGUGCAAUGGCAUAAGCCAGCUUGACUGCGAGCGUGACGGCGCGAGCAGGUGCGAAAGCAGGUCAUAGUGAUCCGGUGGUUCUGAAUGGAAGGGCCAUCGCUCAACGGAUAAAAGGUACUCCGGGGAUAACAGGCUGAUACCGCCCAAGAGUUCAUAUCGACGGCGGUGUUUGGCACCUCGAUGUCGGCUCAUCACAUCCUGGGGCUGAAGUAGGUCCCAAGGGUAUGGCUGUUCGCCAUUUAAAGUGGUACGCGAGCUGGGUUUAGAACGUCGUGAGACAGUUCGGUCCCUAUCUGCCGUGGGCGCUGGAGAACUGAGGGGGGCUGCUCCUAGUACGAGAGGACCGGAGUGGACGCAUCACUGGUGUUCGGGUUGUCAUGCCAAUGGCAUUGCCCGGUAGCUAAAUGCGGAAGAGAUAAGUGCUGAAAGCAUCUAAGCACGAAACUUGCCCCGAGAUGAGUUCU
rnacentral:rRNA from 1 species